AUUGAACGCUGGCGGCAGGCUUAACACAUGCAAGUCGAGCGGAGAGAGGUAGCUUGCUACUGAUCUUAGCGGCGGACGGGUGAGUAAUGCUUAGGAAUCUGCCUAUUAGUGGGGGACAACAUUUCGAAAGGAAUGCUAAUACCGCAUACGUCCUACGGGAGAAAGCAGGGGAUCUUCGGACCUUGCGCUAAUAGAUGGGCCUAAGUCGGAUUAGCUAGUUGGUGGGGUAAAGGCCUACCAAGGCGACGAUCCGUAGCGGGUCUGAGAGGAUGAUCCGCCACACUGGGACUGAGACACGGCCCAGACUCCUACGGGAGGCAGCAGUGGGGAAUAUUGGACAAUGGGCGCAAGCCUGAUCCAGCCAUGCCGCGUGUGUGAAGAAGGCCUUAUGGUUGUAAAGCACUUUAAGCGAGGAGGAGGCUACUUUAGUUAAUACCUAGAGAUAGUGGACGUUACUCGCAGAAUAAGCACCGGCUAACUCUGUGCCAGCCGCCGCGGUAACAC
rnacentral:rRNA from 1 species